GCAUAUCUAUCAGCGGAGGAAAAGAAACCAACAGGGAUUGCUCUAGUAACGGCGAGUGAAGCAGCAAUAGCUCAAAUUUGAAAUCUGGCGUCUUCGACGUCCGAGUUGUAAUUUGUAGAGGAUGCUUCUGAGUGGCCACCGACCUAAGUUCCUUGGAACAGGACGUCAUAGAGGGUGAGAAUCCCGUAUGCGGUCGGAAAGGCGCUCUAUACGUAGCUCCUUCGACGAGUCGAGUUGUUUGGGAAUGCAGCUCUAAAUGGGAGGUAAAUUUCUUCUAAAGCUAAAUAUUGGCCAGAGACCGAUAGCGCACAAGUAGAGUGAUCGAAAGAUGAAAAGCACUUUGGAAAGAGAGUUAAAAAGCACGUGAAAUUGUUAAAAGGGAAGGGAUUGCAACCAGACUUGCUCGCGGUGUUCCGCCGGUCUUCUGACCGGUCUACUCGCCGCGUUGCAGGCCAGCAUCGUCUGGUGCCGCUGGAUAAGACUUGAGGAAUGUAGCUCCCUCGGGAGUGUUAUAGCCUCUUGUGAUGCAGCGAGCGCCGGGCGAGGUCCGCGCUUCGGCUAGGAUGCUGGCGUAAUGGUCGUAAUCCGCCCGUCUUGAAACACGGACCAAGGAGUCUAACAUCUAUGCGAGUGUUCGGGUGUCAAACCCCUACGCGUAAUGAAAGUGAACGGAGGUGAGAACCGCAAGGUGCAUCAUCGACCGAUCCUGAUGUCUUCGGAUGGAUUUGAGUAAGAGCAUAGCUGUUGGGACCCGAAAGAUGGUGAACUAUGCCUGAAUAGGGUGAAGCCAGAGGAAACUCUGGUGGAGGCUCGCAGCGGUUCUGACGUGCAAAUCGAUCGUCAAAUUUGGGGUAUAGGGGGCGAAAGACUAAUCGAACCAUCUAGUAGCUAGUUCCUGCCGGAG
rnacentral:rRNA from 1 species